rnacentral:rRNA from 1 species
GACAGAGGUGCCGAGCGUUAGGCGGAAUCACUGGGCUUAAAGCGUGUGUAGGCGGACUUCUAAGUACCUUGUGAAAUCCCACGGCUCAACCGUGGAACUGCUUGGUAUACUGGUUGUCUUGAGCCACCUAGGGGCGAGCGGAACAAGCGGUGGAGCGGUGAAAUGCGUAGAUAUCGCUUGGAACGCCAACGGUGAAAACAGCUCGCUGGGGGUGUGCUGACGCUGAGACACGAAAGCCAGGGGAGCGAACGGG